UACAGAGGGUGCGAGCGUUAAUCGGAAUUACUGGGCGUAAAGCGCACGUAGGUGGCGACGUAAGUCGGGUGUGAAAGCCCCGGGCUCAACCUGGGAAUUGCAUUCGAGACUGCAUUGCUGGAGUACGGAAGAGGAGGGCGGAAUUCCCGGUGUAGCGGUGAAAUGCGUAGAUAUCGGUGGGAACGCCAGUGGCGAAGGCAGGUCUCUGGGCCACUACUGACGCUGAGAAGCGAAAGCAUGGGGAGCGAACAGG
rnacentral:rRNA from 1 species